UACGUAGGGUGCGAGCGUUAAUCGGAAUUACUGGGCGUAAAGCGUGCGCAGGCGGUUUUGUAAGACAGGCGUGAAAUCCCCGGGCUUAACCUGGGAACUGCGUUUGUGACUGCAAGGCUAGAGUACGGUAGAGGGGGGUGGAAUUCCACGUGUAGCAGUGAAAUGCGUAGAGAUGUGGAGGAACACCAAUGGCGAAGGCAGCCCCCUGGGUCGAUACUGACGCUCAUGCACGAAAGCGUGGGUAGCAAACAGG
rnacentral:rRNA from 1 species